UCUUAAUAGGCGCGGCGGCAACACUCUCGUUGCAAGUGCACUGCUGUGCGUGCUACCGCCGUUACCCUGUUCUCGGCUGAGAAGGGGCGCGUAGCCAAAUCGACGCCGCUCGCUGCCACGGUUCCGAGGUAUGCUACACGUUGCCGACGGGCCUCGAGGAAGCACAGCGUUGUUAAGCUAUAUAGGUGCUCGCGAGACUAGGUCAAUGGCACCGAAAGCUCGGAACCUUUUUAAACCUUCGCUUGGGGCAAUCAAGCAUCAAUCCUCACGUGUCCUGCACAAACACACUAUUGAAAGAGUAGAUUUCUACCAUCACGUUGGUGCGGCGAUCGCAGUUACAGCAGCGGCAGCUGGCUUUCUGAAGCAGCCCCGUCCUGUCGCUGAAGCCUUCAGGCAUUGCUGAUGUGAUUCGUUUUCUAAUCUGAUUCAUAAGCAAGCAGAAUACAGUACGUAGGCUAUGUACAGUUAGGACCCCGGAAAACUCAGUGACUUGCUGAAGCAGUCCCCAAAUCACGUAGGGUUCUUUAAUCAGGUUUCGCGUUCAAUUCAGUCCUGUACUAGCAUGAGUCCUUCGACUGUUGUACUAUAUUUAGGGCGAG